rnacentral:rRNA from 1 species
UACGGGGGGAGCAAGCGUUGUUCGGAUUUACUGGGCAUAAAGGGCGCGUAGGCGGCGUGACAAGUCACUUGUGAAAUCUCCGGGCUUAACUCGGAGCGGCCAAGUGAUACUGUCGUGCUAGAGUGCGGAAGGGGCUACUGGAAUUCUCGGUGUAGCGGUGAAAUGCGUAGAUAUCGAGAGGAACACCUGCGGCGAAGGCGGGUAGCUGGGCCGACACUGACGCUGAGGCGCGAAAGCUAGGGGAGCGAACGGG